rnacentral:rRNA from 1 species
UACAGAGGGUGCGAGCGUUAAUCGGAAUUACUGGGCGUAAAGCGUGCGUAGACGGUUAUUUAAGUUGGGUGUGAAAGCCCCGGGCUCAACCUGGGAAUUGCAUUCGAGACUGAAUAGCUAGGGUACGGUAGAGGGAAGUGGAAUUUCCGGUGUAGCGGUGAAAUGCGUAGAUAUCGGAAGGAACAUCAGUGGCGAAAGCGACUUCCUGGACCAGUACCGACGUUCAGGCACGAAAGCGUGGGGAGCAAACAGG